AUGUUCUUCAGGAGAAGUUGCAACAGGAAGACCUGUUUUCGUUACAUUUAAUUGUUUUGUAUUCGUUUGGUUAUUUAAAUACAAUGUUUGAGUUUUAAAGCACGUUGUGUUUUACUCACAGCCCAGCGAGGCCUGACCGAGUCCCGGCCGAUUCUCUGAGAGAUUCCCGUUCACUCAGUUAUUCUCCUCCCAGACACGUCCGAGCUGCUCGGUCCUCACCCGGUCGAAGGAGCGGAAGCAGACAGUCGCUGGGAUCCUCAUCGGGCAGCAGGCGAAGAAAAUGAGCCGAAUAUCAGAAACCUGUCCCUCUUUCUUCUUCUGUGUUGCUUAAACACAACUACAGCCUGGACUUUGGAGCCAGCGGUCAGUAGAUAUGAGGUUUUUGGAGAACUCCUCUGGCAGUAAUCAGUUUUUUGUUUUAAGCCAAGACGUCGCAGGCUGCUGUUUCUAUCGAUGAGCCGAAGACGCCACAGUCCAACACUCUGUACCUGUGCUGAAUGUCGUGUCCUUCCUGUAGAUAUGAGCUGUCUGUAUUUUGGUUAUUAUUAUAUAACAGGUAAAUGAUUCCAUGCAAGGUGAGCAGAAACUGAAACUUGGGUAAUUUCUUUGUUGAAAAUAAUUCAUGGUAAUAAUAAAAAGUAAUUGUACAUUUUA